AAUCAAUCGCACAUUUCCGAAAAAUCUACUAAAGAGGGGAUUAGCUUCUUUGACGAAAUCAACACAAUCGCUUUACACACAAUCGUCUGAGAUUCUUGCACACAUGAUUCUUCUUCAAGCUCGUACUCUCACCUUCAGUUUCUGUUUCUUUCUCGUUUCACUACAUCAUGUGUUUCCGACAGUCAUUGAAGUUCAUGUAAAUUUGCUGGAUUUAUGUGUUACAGUGGGUGCAUGUCCUUUUUCCAUUGCUCCUUACUUAUUUCAUAACCAGAAAGGGUGGUGGACAGAUAUUUUAUAAUCACUGAUGAUUUCAAACCGGCAGUCUCUAAUAUUGAACAAUGACAUAUUGCUUUCGGUGAAACACAUAAGAGGAGAAAAAGUAAGAGUACGACAUGCAUAGCAGAACUAAUAGUUUCACCAAACAAUACUCGCUAUUAGUGAAGAUGUAUUCUAUUUGGACAUGAAUUUAGAAUAAAGAGCUUCUCAUAAAUAUGUGGCCAUGCCUUCUUCUGUUUCAAAGAAAUAUAUGGCUGCCGAUCCAAAGGUUAGAUUCAUACUUUCUAAGUAGUUGUGUAAUAGUUUUGGUACUGAUUCAAGGAUACUAAAGUUUGUCCCACCUAGUCUUUUUCACGGUUGCAUGAAUCUUGUCAUGCUGUGUCAAACAAAAAACAAACAUAAUAGUAAGAAACCAUGGCAUGUAUAGCAACACAUAAAACUAAAGUUCAGGAAAAUAAGACAAUAUAAAACUUACUCUACUAUCGACUAAAACCAUUUAAAUAUUCUCACCUCCAGAAACAGAAUAUUGUUUCUAGAGACAAUAAUUUCACUAUCUUUCACAUGGAUUUGAAAGGCUUCAAAUAACAAAUUAAAUUAAUCGCAGCCAUCGCCAAUUACAUGUGUUAGAGAAAUAGUUUAUUUUCUGUUUGAAAUGAAUAUAUGAUUAAUCCGGUCGUUCCUCUUUCUAUUAUAUAGAAUGUAGAAAGUGAAUCUAGAAUUAAUUGCAAAAUAAUAUGGAAUCAAUCUGUAAACAUAGAUUAUCAAUUACAUUAAAUUAGAAUAUUGACAUAAUCAAAUUACGCAUCAAUAUUAGCCUUAUUUGAGUAUAGAAAUUUAAUUUUCACCUGUAAACAGAGUGUAUAUAUAGUAUUCGUAGGCCUUGAUGAGAAAGCUAUGUGUUAUUAUAUUAAUGAGUAAAUUUUGCUUAAAUGAUUCAUAAUUAGCAAUAGCAAUAUAGGAAACUUUCACCUAAGACAAUAAUAUCUAAUGAACAGACAAUAAAAUUGCAUCAUUAUUUUUUUUAUUUACUCUUUUUUUUUUGAGAAAACGUUAUCUCUAUUUACUUGCAUACGUAAAACUGAUGAGCUUGGGAACCAAGUUUAAUUAUUAUUAUUAAUAUUUUUUUCAGUAUUUCGAAGAAUUCAAACAUUGAGCAAAUAAAUUACAUGAUUCAAGUUACCUUUGAUGCCUUUUUUUGAAAACAAAAUCAAACAUCGGGUCAAAUUGGUUUUAACUUUUAAGUAAACCAUGCAAUACAAUAGUACACUAAAUCAAUGAUAUUAAAAUGGUUAUUGAUCAAACACAACGCAUCAAUAAUUUUCUUAAAUCCUAAAUCUUUAUUUAACCACAAAUCUUAAUGGUUGAAACAGAUGGUGAUAUAUAUAGUUACACCAUUGGUGCUGCCUGGAAAUGUAUGAUGCCUGAAAUUACCCCAAGUUUCACCAUUGUAAUGCAUCAAUUAAUUUAAUCUUGUACACCAAAUAUAAAUGGCUGAAACAGUAUGUGAGAGAUGGUGGAGCUCUGGUACAUAAGACUCUUUUCACUAUUGGAUUGUGUUUUGCAAAAAAAAAUCGGUAAAGCUUUCUAACAUGGUUGCUAUUAUUAAACAGCUCUAUCAUGUAAAGUGGCUUUGAGCAGAAUAAUAAAUCAAAUUGUCGUAUUGUUGGUACAAAUGUAAUAAGGGAUGCACGGUUGACAAUGAUGUUAGGUCUGAUCAAACAAAGUGAAAACCAGUUUGGUAUGUUCUAAUAAACUGUCGGUUAUUAAUAGAUAGAACAAUCAUUAUAUUGAAGUAAAUUAUGUCGGACAAAACUAUUUAGACCAGUGGUAUUAGCUGUAAAUCUUCUAGUAAUGAAAGGGUUUUUAAAUAGCUUGGUUGAGAAAGAUUGUGAGCUUGACACAUAAGCAAAAUGACAUGGUUGUAAAUAAGUUACAAAUUAAAGGUUACUCUCCUAAAAUGUUUCUCUAUUAAUAAGAAAGGGAUACCUUAAUUUAACAUAUAAAUUGGUUUUCUUUGAAUAUUUGGAUAAAAAAAUCAAUAGAUAUUUAACUAUUUUGGUGUUUUCAGUAUACUUUAGCUAUUUUAAACAUUUAUUUUUGACUAUUUGCAUAUAUUUUCCGAGUAUUCUGGAAAACUUAAAGGUAUCUUAUAUAUUUUUAAUAUUUUUAAUAUACAUUAUAUAUAAAAAUAAUGUAUAUAUUUAAGUAUAUAAAUUUAUUUUGGAUACAUUCGGGUACCCAAAAUAUUUCGGUUCGGAUCGGGUUCGGUUUCGGUUCUUUAAAUACCGAAAUUUUGAACCCGUUCGGAUAUUUAAUCAAUUUCGGUUCGGGUUCGGUGGUACUUUUUCGGAUCGGGUUCGGUUUGGUUUUUCGGGUUCGGAUUUUUUGCCCAGCCCUAUUUUAGAUAUUGAGAUUAAAUUGCAUUUCUUUGUCCAAUUGAAUAGGCCUCUCUUUUUACUCGAUCUCCUUGUGGUUUAGUUCACUAACUGUGACUUUUAUCUGUUGUAGGGCUGUUCCCUCUCUCCUCCUGCAAGUUAGGGUUUAGUUCACUAACUGUGCUUCUCUUCUCAAUGAUAUGGCUACAACUUUAGUUGCUGUGGAUAUUUUACCUUUUUGGGGUAGAGGUCUUUAGGUUUACGUAUUCAUUGUGACUAAAGGUCAGACUGCAAGGGAAAUAGUUAUUUAGUUAACCUUCUCAUUGGAUUUUAUGAGCAUUUUUUAAAUUCAUUGCACAUAUCUUCAUUCUUGAUUUCUGCUUUGGAACGUAGAAGUUGUCAGUGCAUAGUUAAAAGUUGAAGCUUCUAAUGAUUCAUAUAGUAGCUGAAUCUGCAGAAUCUUGUGAUUUAAAUGCAUGUUUCUUAUGAUUAGCUAUGUUUCUUUGUUUUGUGUUAUUUUGCAUGCCUUCGUUGUAGCCGAAAAGAGAUAUAUGCAUCGUUUCCAUGGUAUGAUUCAGUGUAUUGA